rnacentral:rRNA from 1 species
UACAGAGGUCCCAAGCGUUGUUCGGAUUCACUGGGCGUAAAGGGUGCGUAGGCGGUCGGGUAAGUCUGAUGUGAAAUCUCCAAGCCUAACUUGGAAACUGCAUUGGAUACUAUCCGGCUCGAGGAAUGGAGGGGAGACUGGAAUACUUGGUGUAGCAGUGAAAUGCGUAGAUAUCAAGUGGAACACCAGUGGCGAAGGCGAGUCUCUGGGCCGAUACUGACGCUGAGGAGCGAAAGCGUGGGGAGCGAACAGG